AGAGGGGAGGUUGAGGGCAGAAAAUAGUAGAGAGAGGGAGAGAGAGAGUGUGACGCACCAAAAUAGAGUAUACGUUCUGUGUGUGUAACAGAGGGGGGAAACUUCUUCUUCUAGCUGAGGUAAGCUGUUUCUUCUUCUUCUAAAUUUUUUUGUUUGUCUCUUUAAUGUCCUACGAUCACUUCGACACAAAAAUCUAGCUCUCAAAUUCUAGCAGCAAGCUCUAGAACCCAACACAGUUGUUGCUACACCUACAUGAUGCCACUGUUCAGGUAAACAUCUGUUCUUCGUCCAAUUAAAAUUCUGUUUCAUGUUUCCUUUAAAAAAUUCGUAGUCAAUCACUAAGAUAUUGUCUUAGGAUUGUUAGGAUUUUAUUUUCGAACGUAAAACAGCUUUUAAACUCAAAAUCUAGCUCAAAAUCAUCACUCUGCUCUAUAAGCACAGCUACUAUGAGUUACAGAGAAGAAUUCUUGAAUUUCCAACAUUUUCUUUAUGCGAUUUAGCUUCUGUCUCGUCCGUUGAAUGGCGUAAGGUGGGUAGAAAUCUUGUUGAUGCAUGAUUUGAGAUUUUUAGAUACAUUUGACGAUUAAACUGCUUGAAUUAAUUUGGUAAUGUUACAUGUGUUAAGCUAAUGUGUGUGCGUCUCAUGAAAUGUGAUUUUUACAAAUUAAAAUUAUAUUUUUGAUGCAUGAAUGAAUACAAUGAAUGGGUGUUGGUGAUUGAUGCUUAGAAAAUAAAGUAGAAAAAAAAUUUCAAGGAAUUGAAUCGAAUGGUUCUGUCACAAGCAUGCGGCACCAAGUUGAUGUUGCUGCUGGGGAUGUACUGUUCUGUAGCUUGAGAGCAUGCAUGGGAUGUUUCCAUCCAGAAUAGUUUAGAAAUGCCCCUCAGGCAAUGGCUGAGUUAGAAGAAAAAGGAAAUUUAUAAAAUUUGGGAUUAUGGAAAUUAUUUGAGAUAAAAUGGGUCAAUUAGUAAGGAUGAAUGGUUUAAAUUCAAAUGGAAAGAUAAAAACUAAAUCACUUAAUAAAUAAUUAAAUUCUCUUAGUAAUAUUAGGAUUUAAAUAUAAAAAUAAGGAAAUUCACAAAUUAUAAAAUAAACUAAAAUAUUAAGAAGAAUUAAGAUUUUAAUUUUAUGGACUUACAAUAAAAUUUAUGAAUUUAAGGAAAAAUAAUGAAAUUUAAGAAUUUAACUAAAUAAAAUAAAAGUAAAAAAUUUAAAUAAACAUAGAAUUUGGUUUAAAUUUGAUUCACCGUAUUUGUUUUGAGGAGUAUUUGGUUUGUUUAUUUGUUCAAGAGCCCCUAUGUUAUGGGUGCUAGUUUUGGUUCUUUAAUGGUUCAUGUAG
rnacentral:lncRNA from 1 species